GACAGAGGGUGCAAACGUUGCUCGGAAUUACUGGGCGUAAGGCGCGUGUAGGCGGACUUGCAAGUCAGAUGUGAAAUCCCCGAGCUCAACUCGGGAACUGCAUUUGAAACUGCCUGUCUUGAGUAGUGGAGAGGAAAGCAGAAUUCCUGGUGUAGAGGUGAAAUUCGUAGAUAUCAGGAGGAACACCAAUGGCGAAGGCAGCACCCUGGGACGUGACUGACGCUGAGACGCGAAAGCGUGGGGAGCAAACAGG
rnacentral:rRNA from 1 species